UACGUAGGGUGCAAGCGUUAAUCGGAAUUACUGGGCGUAAAGCGUGCGCAGGCGGUUAUGUAAGACAGAUGUGAAAGCCCCGGGCUUAACCUGGGAAUGGCAUUUGAGACUGCAUAGCUAGGGUGCGGAAGAGGGAAGCGGAAUUUCCGGUGUAGCGGUGAAAUGCGUAGAUAUCGGAAGGAACACCAGUGGCGAAAGCGGCUUCCUGGUCCAGCACCGACGUUCAGGCACGAAAGCGUGGGGAGCAAACAGG
rnacentral:rRNA from 1 species